rnacentral:lncRNA from 1 species
CGCCUCUCUCUCAAUCUCUUUCUUUGUCUUUCACUAUCUCCUAUCUCACCUUCCCACUCGCUCUUAUUCUCUUUGAUAAAUAUAUGAUCUCUUGCUCUUGCGCUCUCUCCCUUUCUAUUUUUAAUUUAUUCCUCAUCUUCUCUUUGCUAUCUAUGUAGAGGAGCUACUACUUGAGAUAAAGGCUGACACGUUAACUAUGUAUGUGUUUAUCCCACAUCUUAACAA